UGCUUACCAUGCAAGUCGCGCGGGGAACCCCUUCGGGGGGAGUACCAGCGGCGCACGGGUGAGUAACACGUGGGUAACCUACCCCUCAGCGGGGGAUAACCGGGGGAAACUCCGGCUAAUACCCCAUAUUAUCCGGUGACGACAGUUGCUGGAUGAAAGGAGCGUUUGCUUCGUUGAGGGAUGGGCCCGCGGCCCAUCAGGUAGUUGGUGAGGUAAUGGCUCACCAAGCCUACGACGGGUAGCCGACCUGAGAGGGUGACCGGCCACAAGGGCACUGAGACACGGGCCCUACUCCUACGGGAGGCAGCAGUGGGGAAUUUUGGACAAUGGGCGAAAGCCUGAUCCAGCGACGCCGCGUGAGGGACGAAGCCCUUCGGGGUGUAAACCUCUGUUGUGAGGGACGAAUAAGAUCUGGAGGAAAUGCCAGAUCGAUGACGGUACCUCACGAGAAAGCCCCGGCUAACUACGUGCCAGCAGCCGCGGUAAUAC
rnacentral:rRNA from 1 species